AAUCUACCACUCGCAUUCUGAACCAUGCAAUAUUGAAUAUGCUACAGCACCAUAUCUGCACAACACAGUUUAUUGAGCUAAACAGGAAACAGUCCACAUGUUACAUCAUCAAGAGAAUCAUGUUACAUGCCUAGCCUAACACACACACACACACACAGCAUGCAUAGUGUAGCAUGGGCAAGUCACAUUACGCAAUGACCUUGCAUACCAGAUAAACGGUCAGUGUGGAAAAUUUGAAAACUGCAUUCAGUUGCAACAGUGCUGCAGUGCUUUGCAAGAGGCCAGAAAAGUUGAAUUAAACUGGGUCAAAAUCAUGGAUAUAGUUGCAUGACAUGUGCAUGCCUGAUGUGGACAUAAGUUACUGUUCAUGUGCACACGCAUCCUGUACAUGGUUAGCAUGUAGAAAUACACUGGAUGGGGAUGAUCGAUGGACAUGUUGGAGCUUAAGAGUUAUAUAGACAUGAUGAUGCCUGGCAUGAUAUGCCUGGACCAUGGAGAAAUGCCAGGACUCUUGUCUCACGGAGUCACGCGUCACAAUCACAAGCUGUUGUAUGCGAUACAUCGUACAGCAUUAGCAGCAAGAACUUAUCCCCCAAUCCUUGACAAAAGUUUGGUCAUUUUGGUGAUGUGUAAAAACAUGUAUUAUAAACCACAGCAAUCCAGGUAUUCCAUUCAGCCAUACAUACUGUACAUGUGUUUGUUACUCUGUUAAUUUACUUGGGCUCGUGAGAUAUUUCACAACAAGAUUUCACUGCAUCCUACUUUUGCAAUGCAAGAACAAACUUACCAAAGAAAUUUUAGCAAUAAAUUAUAUCCAAUUUCAGGGCAAGCUGAAAAAACAUGUAUAUGCUGGAAGUACAUUUUCAUAAUUUUACCUUUUAAAGGGCUAUGCAGAUGAUAUGCGUAUUACUUCAAUAACAUGUAAGCUGUGGGCAGUUUUUUUUGGUUUAAAUUUUUUACAGUCACAACCCUUAAAUUCAAACUUUGAAAACUAUUCUUGUUGAUAGAUGGCACAUUUUCAUUAUAAAAGACACUUUGCACAGACAAAUGUACUUUUUGUGGCAAACAUUGUCACAAUAAAACCGGGGCUUCGUUGUGUUUAAAGACUGCACCAUCCCCUUUGUAAUAACCCAAACUUAAGUGUAUUCAGCUGUGCUUUUUUGAGCUGUUCAUUUUCCUGUUCAUAACUUUUUAAGGUUAAAAUGUUUACUGUUAUCAACUCGAUAUACAUGUACAUGUAGGUUUAAUUUUAUACAACAGUCUUGGAUGCAUACAUUGUGUGCAUGGAUUUGUACAGUGUGAACAAGUCCUUUUUCUAAGAUACAGAUAAAAGACAAAAUUUGAGCUUAAUUGAAGGAUAAGACCAUAUUUUAAUUGCCUUCAAAAACCUGUGCAUUCCUGUUUGAGAAAAAUGCUUGUGUAUGCAUUUUUGAACAUUUGAUUCAUGUUUAGUUAAAUGAUUUGUCUAUGUUUGCACUUUUUAGGGUGACAUGUCAUUUAAACAUCAUAAAUAUGUUAAUUUUAGUAAAAGUAAUGCACAUGUAUUUAAUACUUUUUUGCAGGUGCCAUAUAAACCAGGUGCCACAACAUUGACGGACAUGUACAUGUUUAUUAUUUAACUUCUUUUUGCAGAUAACAUGUGUAACACAAGUAUGAGCUGAUAACUCCUUCGUUAUAUUUUUCAAUUUAUUUUACCCUUUGACAAGUUCAAUUUACAGUCUUUGAACACUUUUUGCAUUAAAAACAGUUCUUUAGCUCAUUUAACAAAUAACUGAAAGUGAAGAUACAUUUUUAUUCAAGUACAUGUACAUGUAUUUGCUCAACUUGUGAAAUGUAAACUUUAUUUUAUUUGUGUGACAAAUAUAGGAUGAUGCACAUGAAGAAGAAAAAAAAGUCUUGUCUUUUUUUUAUUAUGUGUCCUUUUAACGUUUUUUUAAGUUAGUUUGCCCAUAAAAUGUUGUUGUCCACUGGUCAUCGGAAAAUGAAGCAGUUUUGCUGGAAGAUAUACAUGUAGUGUACGUCGUGGUAAACUGCACAAAAGAAAUGUAGUAGUGAUUUUGGAGUUACUUACAGUACAACUACAAUACUUGUAUUCAUUUUUACUGCACUAAAUCUGGAGUAAUAUCUGCACUAAAACUGCAGUAGAAUUAUAAUAAACCAAAAGUGAAUGUUCAUAUUACCGUAGUAAAAUUGAAGUACUACAGCGCCUAAACUACAGUUGCCACUGCAGUAAAUAUGGGGUAAAUACUACGAUAAAAUUUUAAUAAAAAUGCAAUAAACUGAAAGUAAAUUACUACAGUGUUUUUGAAGUGAAACUGCAAUUCCACUACAGUAAACUUUUUUUUUACUACAGUAAAUAUGCAGUUAAUCUCUACUAGAAUUAUAAUAAAAGUAUAAUAAAACCCCCUUUUUAUUUUAAUAUUACUAUAGUAUUUUUACUACAGUAAGUAUGCAAUUAAUCUCUAAUAAAAUUAUAAUAAAAGUAAAAUAAAUCCACAUUAUCAGACAACACACAAAACCACACAGUGAGAGUUGAUUUGACUUUUCUGGCAUAGAUUUUUUGAGCCGCUAAUUUAUGUUGAACUGUAUUAAAUGUCCGUAAAUACGUUAACAAGCUAUAACAUACCAAUAAUUACCUAUUUGCUAAAAGAUAUUUGCCUUAGAAACAUUUUAAACAAGCUAAAAACGGGGCACUAUAUGCCUAUAUUACUCAAGAAGUUAUUUGUAGUUAAAGCACACCGAUUUGGUCCACCGCUCGUAGAUACGGUUGGCAUGCCCCAUCAGUACAAAUGGGUGCUUGGCGUACUUUCUUACAAAGAUUAAACACAACUUGUUAAAUGUUUAACGUCCAAAUUCAAAGGUUUUACUUAAGAACUAUUCACCCAACUUGUUUAUUUAGUUUGAAUUGAGGCACUGUCCGUCGCUCCCAGCCAACU